UUUCCGUAGGUGAACCUGCGGAAGGAUCAUUAAAGCGUAAGGGUCUUCGGGCCCGAUCUCCAACCCUUUGUUUAACUACCAUGUUGCUUUGGCGGGCCCGUCUCACGACCGCCGGAAGUUUGGCUUCGACCAAACUUCUGGCCCGUGCCCGUCAGUGGCCCCUUCAAAUUCUUGAUCAAGUAUGAUGUCUUAGUUAAAAACUUAAUAGUUAAAACUUUCAACAACGGAUCUCUUGGUUCUG
rnacentral:misc_RNA from 1 species